CUACGGGUGGCAGCAGUGAGGAAUUUUGCGCAAUGGGGGGAACCCUGACGCAGCAACGCCGCGUGAGUGAAGAAGGCCUUUGGGUCGUAAAGCUCUGUCAACUGGGAAGAAAUUAGAGUUGUUUAACAGAUGAUUCUAUUGACGGUACCAGUGGAGGAAGCGCCGGCUAACUCCGUGCCAGCAGCCGCGGUAACACGGGGGGCGCAAGCGUUAUUCGGAAUUAUUGGGCGUAAAGGGCGCGCAGGCGGUCUUGUCGGUCAGGUGUGAAAGCCCGGGGCUCAACCCUGGAAGUGCACUUGAAACAGCAAGACUUGAGUACGGGAGAGGAAAGCGGAAUUCCUGGUGUAGAGGUGAAAUUCGUAGAUAUCAGGAGGAACACCGAUGGCGAAGGCAGCUUUCUGGACCGAUACUGACGCUGAGGCGCGAAGGCGUGGGUAGCGAACGGGAUUAGAUACCCGUGUAGUC
rnacentral:rRNA from 1 species